rnacentral:rRNA from 1 species
CCUACGGGGGGCAGCAGUGGGGAAUAUUGCACAAUGGGGGGAACCCUGAUGCAGCGACGCCGCGUGAGUGAAGAAGUAUUUCUGUAUGUAAAGCUCUAUCAGCAGGGAAGAAAUAGCGACCUUUGGGUCGCCAGACGGUACCUGAUUCAGAAGCCCCGGCUAACUACGUGCCAGCAGCCGCGGUAAUACGUAGGGGGCAAGCGUUAUCCGGAUUUACUGGGUGUAAAGGGAGCGUAGACGGCAGCGCAAGUCUGAAGUGAAAUGCCGGGGCUUAACCCCGGAACUGCUUUGGAAACUGUGCAGCUAGAGUGCAGGAGAGGUAAGUGGAAUUCCUAGUGUAGCGGUGAAAUGCGUAGAUAUUAGGAGGAACACCAGUGGCGAAGGCGACUUACUGGACUGUAACUGACGUUGAGGCUCGAAAGCGUGGGGAGCAAACAGGAUUAGAUACCCCAGUAGUC